UACGUAGGGGGCUAGCGUUGUCCGGAUUUAUUGGGCGUAAAGAGCGUGUAGGCGGCUAGAUAGGUCCGUUGUGAAAACUCGAGGCUCAACCUCGAGACGUCGAUGGAAACCAUCUAGCUAGAGUCCGGAAGAGGAGAGUGGAAUUCCUGGUGUAGCGGUGAAAUGCGCAGAUAUCAGGAAGAACACCCGUGGCGAAGGCGGCUCUCUGGUACGUGACUGACGCUGAGACGCGAAAGCGUGGGGAGCAAACAGG
rnacentral:rRNA from 1 species